CCUACGGGAGGCAGCAGUGAGGAAUAUUGGUCAAUGGGCGCGAGCCUGAACCAGCCAAGUCGCGUGAGGGAAGACGGUCCUAUGGAUUGUAAACCUCUUUUGUCGGGGAGCAAAAGACGCCACGCGUGGCGUUCCGAGAGUACCCGAAGAAAAAGCAUCGGCUAACUCCGUGCCAGCAGCCGCGGUAAUACGGAGGAUGCGAGCGUUAUCCGGAUUUAUUGGGUUUAAAGGGUGCGCAGGCGGAAGAGGAAGUCAGCGGUAAAAUUGAGAGGCUCAACCUCUUCGAGCCGUUGAAACUGGUGUUCUUGAGUGAGUGAGAAGUAUGCGGAAUGCGUGGUGUAGCGGUGAAAUGCAUAGAUAUCACGCAGAACUCCGAUUGCGAAGGCAGCAUACCGGCGCUCAACUGACGCUCAUGCACGAAAGUGUGGGUAUCGAACAGGAUUAGAUACCCGAGUAGUC
rnacentral:rRNA from 1 species